rnacentral:rRNA from 1 species
AACGAACGCUGGCGGCAUGCCUAACACAUGCAAGUCGAACGAGAUCCUUCGGGGUCUAGUGGCGCACGGGUGCGUAACGCGUGGGAAUCUGCCCUUAGGUUCGGAAUAACAGUUAGAAAUGACUGCUAAUACCGGAUGAUGACGUUAAGUCCAAAGAUUUAUCGCCUGAGGAUGAGCCCGCGUAGGAUUAGCUAGUUGGUGUGGUAAAGGGGCACCAAGGCGACGAUCCUUAGCUGGUCUGAGAGGAUGAUCAGCCACACUGGGACUGAGACACGGCCCAGACUCCUACGGGAGGCAGCAGUGCGGAAUAUUGGACAACGGCCGCAAGCCUGAUCCAGCAAUGCCGCGUGAGUGAUGAAGGCCUUAGGGUUGUAAAGCUCUUUUACCCGGGAUGAUAAUGACAGUACCGGGAGAAUAAGCCCCGGCUAACUCCGUG